rnacentral:misc_RNA from 1 species
GAUGAAGAACGCAGCGAAAUGCGAUAAGUAAUGUGAAUUGCAGAAUUCAGUGAAUCAUCGAAUCUUUGAACGCACAUUGCUCCCGCCAGUAUUCUGGCGGGCAUGCCUGUUCGAGCGUCAUUUCAACCAUCAAGCCCCCGGCUUGUGUUGGGGACCUGCGGCUGCCGCAGGCCCUGAAAAGCAGUGGCGGGCUCGCUGUCACACCGAGCGUAGUAGCAUACAUCUCGCUCUGGGCGUGCUGCGGGUUCCGGCCGUUAAACCACCUUCAUAACCCAAGGUUGACCUCGGAUCAGGUAGGAAGACCCGCUGAACUUAAGCAUAUCAAUAAGCGGAGGA